AUUCUAGGUGGGGAGACUGACGGCUGGAGGCCCAUGAGCUGUCUAGAACUUUGGCCCCCAGAUUUCUGGUCUCCCCACUUCAGAAC
ensembl:miRNA